rnacentral:rRNA from 1 species
CGGGGUGAGUAAUGUAUGGGGAUCUGCCUGAUGGCGGGGGAUAACUACUGGAAACGGUAGCUAAUACCGCAUAAUGUCUACGGACCAAAGCGGGGGACCUCCGGGCCUCGCGCCAUCAGAUGAACCCAUAUGGGAUUAGCUUGUAGGUAAGGUAACGGCUUACCUAGGCGACGAUCCCUAGCUGGUCUGAGAGGAUGAUCAGCCACACUGGGACUGAGACACGGCCCAG